ensembl:snoRNA
AGCCCCUGGUGCUUACCACUGGCUGUGUUCUUAUACCGACCGCACCGAAAGAGGAGGCAGAGUAAACCUACCCAUAUAGACCCCAGCCCAGGCCCUUUGCCUGGUCUGUGUUGUGAAUGGGGGCAAUGG